UAAAAUGAUAUAUAAUAAGUGUGGGUGCAUUUACUAUGAAAGAGGUGUAUUACGGUUGGACAGACAUGUAGCGCAAAUGCCAGGUUUUGUUUACAUUUUGUUUUGUUCACAAUGUGUACAUUUGGCUCCGUCCUUAAGGGGUUAAUACAAUGUUGCUGUGUAGAGUUAAAGUUUUAAACAAAACAUAUUAGGACUUCAUAUUAGGGGAUUCCAGGAUAUGGAACUGAAACAGGGAGAUUCAGAUCCCAAAGAUAGAUAGUUGGUAAGUAUGGAGCUGCAGCAUCAUAAGGCUUCCAAUGGUUCUCUUAUAAUACAUUAGGCAGAGUCUCCCAAACAUUUUUUAUAAAGCACAUUAAUGAAAAAUAAUAUAUACAAGGCUGCUCUAAAAUUAAUUUCACCUCAAAUAUGCUUCAAUUAUCGUUUUAUACAACUUAUGUUAUUAUUUUUUGCAUUAGUAAUUAUAUGUUAUUAUGCACCAACAUGAUUAGCUCAUGAGAUUGCUUUCCUUUUCAGGAUCUCAAAAACCUGUUAACUUGAAAGAACUCACAAGAACUCUAAAG